rnacentral:snoRNA from 1 species
UUUGAAAGGAUGAAAAUAAAGUCCGAAUUAUUACUGAGCAAAUCAAUGCUGUAUAAGAGAUUUCCCCAACUGAUAAA